UACGUAGGGGGCUAGCGUUGUCCGGAAUCAUUGGGCGUAAAGAGCGUGUAGGCGGCUCGGUAAGUCCGCUGUGAAAGUCCAGGGCUCAACCCUGGAAUGCCAGUGGAAACUGUCGAGCUAGAGUCCGGAAGAGGCGAGUGGAAUUCCUAGUGUAGCGGUGAAAUGCGCAGAUAUCAGGAGGAACACCAAUGGCGAAGGCAGCUCGCUGGGACGGUACUGACGCUGAGACGCGAAAGCGUGGGGAGCAAACAGG
rnacentral:rRNA from 1 species